GGAGAGAUGGCCGAGUGGUUGAAGGCGCACGCCUGGAAAGUGUGUAUACGCUAAACCCGUAUCGAGGGUUCGAAUCCCUCUCUCUCCGCCA
rnacentral:tRNA from 1 species